UGCAAAGCUACGUAGUUGUAUAUACCGAAAGUGGUCAAAUGUUGUGAGGGACGCGGAGUCUGGGAUGUCUGAGAACUGGAUAAUGUCGUUGUCCUGAUAGAGGUGUCCUAUUCUAGCAAUGUCUCUUUGUUCGAACUUGGCGAAGUGUUUGGGUGUGAGGCCCGGGGGAAACAGUUUGUUCCGCCAGAUCGGGGUCAUCGGGGAAAGGAAAGAUGAGAG